UUAGGGAUGAUGAAAAAACAGACGGAUUCCCUAUGAUUUCAAUUCGUGAUUAUUACAACCAGCUACUUUUGACCUAC
rfam:Erythranthe guttata cultivar DTN x IM62 scaffold_28_contig_6, whole genome shotgun sequence.